rnacentral:rRNA from 1 species
UACGUAGGGACCGAGCGUUGUCCGGAUUCAUUGGGCGUAAAGAGCUCGUAGGCGGCUGCUCAAGUCGAAUGUGAAAACUCGAGGCUCAACCUCGAGCCUGCAUUCGAUACUGGGCGGCUAGAGUCUGGUAGGGGGAUCUGGAAUUCCUGGUGUAGCGGUGGAAUACGCAGAUAUCAGGAGGAACACCGGUGGCGAAGGCGGGAUCCUGGGCCAGUACUGACGCUGAGGAGCGAAAGCGUGGGGAGCAAACAGG